GUUUGUAAAUACAGAGGAUGUUUUAUUGUGCUGCUAACGGUGACCUCUGACCUCUGCGUCGCGGCAGAUCUCCUCGUAGACGGUGUGCAGCGGCGUCUGCUCGUAGUCCAGGAUGUUGGUGGACACCUGAGCCACGUUGGCCUCGUCCAGGUACCAGCCCAUCCCCUGCACCUUCUUCAGCAGCCCGGGCUGACGGACGCCGACACAGAACACAGAACAGCGUGACCACCCAGAGCCUCCCACCCAAAACAAACACCGACAGACUCCACCUCCCAGCAUGCACCUGGUCUUUGCCACGCCCCUGCUCCCUGAUGUCCAGAGCGAUGCGGAACUGAAAGUAGCUGAAGUUCCACCUUCAGUCUGGGUUCAACCACCUUCACUCCACUGUCUCAUGGGAAACUAUCGUGACAUUUCUUUCCGUUUUGACCCUCGUUCGUCUCCGUGGUUACCGACCUUUUCCGGCAGAGCUUCGUACUCUCCGGCUCUGACGGCGGGCAGACUCCUCCUCCACUCCAUUCGAGCUGCUUCUCCGUACAGAUACACUGAAAACACACACCACAGUCACCUUUCUUCUUCUGCCUUAAACCUGUUCAUUCUGGUCUCCCGCCGCUUCGUACCGGGCACGUGCAGCAUGUCGGCCAAUCUCUGAGCGAAGAUGUCGGCGCAGCGGACGCAGUCGUCCAUGCUGACGUUCUGGACCGGGAUGAAGGGGCACACGUCCAUGGCUCCGGUCCGCGGGUGUUCACCUGGACAGGAAACGCACCGGGUCACCUGACUGUCAGCUGGAGGCGGGGCCCGGGGAGGCGUUCACUGACCUGAGUGUUUGCUCAUGUCGAUGAGGCCGAAGGCCUGCCGCGCUGCGUUCAGGGCCCCCUCCACCACCGCCUCCGGGGAGCCCACGAAGGUGUAGACGGUCCGGUUGGUGGAGGCCCCGGGGUCCACGUCCAGGAGGCUGCAGCCGGACGUGGACGAGAUGGAGGAGGCGAUGGCAUCGAUGACCUGCAACACACAAAGACUGACCGUUAGGGAUGAGUCCAAC
rnacentral:lncRNA from 1 species